CGUAACAAGGUCUCCGUUGGUGAACCAGCGGAGGGAUCAUUACCGAGUUUACAACUCCCAAACCCCUGUGAACAUACCACUUGUUGCCUCGGCGGAUCAGCCCGCUCCCGGUAAAACGGGACGGCCCGCCAGAGGACCCCUAAACUCUGUUUCUAUAUGUAACUUCUGAGUAAAACCAUAAAUAAAUCAAAACUUUCAACAACGGAUCUCUUGGUUCUGGCAUCGAUGAAGAACGCAGCAAAAUGCGAUAAGUAAUGUGAAUUGCAGAAUUCAGUGAAUCAUCGAAUCUUUGAACGCACAUUGCGCCCGCCAGUAUUCUGGCGGGCAUGCCUGUUCGAGCGUCAUUUCAACCCUCAAGCACAGCUUGGUGUUGGGACUCGCGUUAAUUCGCGUUCCCCAAAUUGAUUGGCGGUCACGUCGAGCUUCCAUAGCGUAGUAGUAAAACCCUCGUUACUGGUAAUCGUCGCGGCCACGCCGUUAAACCCCAACUUCUGAAUGUUGACCUCGGAUCAGGUAGGAAUACCCGCUGAACUUAAGCAUAUCAAUAAGCGGAGGAAAAGAAACCAACAGGGAUUGCCCUAGUAACGGCGAGUGAAGCGGCAACAGCUCAAAUUUGAAAUCUGGCUCUCGGGCCCGAGUUGUAAUUUGUAGAGGAUACUUUUGAUGCGGUGCCUUCCGAGUUCCCUGGAACGGGACGCCAUAGAGGGUGAGAGCCCCGUCUGGUUGGAUGCCAAAUCUCUGUAAAGUUCCUUCAACGAGUCGAGUAGUUUGGGAAUGCUGCUCUAAAUGGGAGGUAUAUGUCUUCUAAAGCUAAAUACCGGCCAGAGACCGAUAGCGCACAAGUAGAGUGAUCGAAAGAUGAAAAGCACUUUGAAAAGAGAGUUAAAAAGUACGUGAAAUUGUUGAAAGGGAAGCGUUUAUGACCAGACUUGGGCUUGGUUAAUCAUCUGGGGUUCUCCCCAGUGCACUUUUCCAGUCCAGGCCAGCAUCAGUUUUCCCCGGGGGAUAAAGGCGGCGGGAAUGUGGCUCUCUUCGGGGAGUGUUAUAGCCCACCGUGUAAUACCCUGGGGGGGACUGAGGUUCGCGCAUCUGCAAGGAUGCUGGCGUAAUGGUCAUCAACGACCCGUCUUGAAACACGGACCAAGGAGUCGUCUUCGUAUGCGAGUGUUCGGGUGUCAAACCCCUACGCGUAAUGAAAGUGAACGCAGGUGAGAGCUUCGGCGCAUCAUCGACCGAUCCUGAUGUUCUCGGAUGGAUUUGAGUAAGAGCAUACGGGGCCGGACCCGAAAGAAGGUGAACUAUGCCUGUAUAGGGUGAAGCCAGAGGAAACUCUGGUGGAGGCUCGCAGCGGUUCUGACGUGCAAAUCGAUCGUCAAAUAUGGGCAUGGGGGCGAAAGACUAAUCGACU
rnacentral:sRNA from 1 species